UUCCGUAGGUGAACCUGCGGAGGGAUCAUUACCGAGUUUACAACUCCCAAACCCCUGUGAACAUACCACUUGUUGCCUCGGCGGAUCAGCCCGCUCCCGGUAAAACGGGACGGCCCGCCAGAGGACCCCUAAACUCUGUUUCUAUAUGUAACUUCUGAGUAAAACCAUAAAUAAAUCAAAACUUCAACAACGGAUCUCUUGGUUCUGGCAUCGAUGAAGAACGCAGCAAAAUGCGAUAAGUAAUGUGAAUUGCAGAAUUCAGUGAAUCAUCGAAUCUUUGAACGCACAUUGCGCCCGCCAGUAUUCUGGCGGGCAUGCCUGUUCGAGCGUCAUUUCAACCCUCAAGCACAGCUUGGUGUUGGGACUCGCGUUAAUUCGCGUUCCUCAAAUUGAUUGGCGGUCACGUCGAGCUUCCAUAGCGUAGUAGUAAAACCCUCGUUACUGGUAAUCGUCGCGGCCACGCCGUUAAACCCCAACUUCUGAAUGUUGACCUCGGAUCAGGUAGGAAUACCCGCUGAAGGCUUGACCCUAUCAUUAAACCGGAAGGAA
rnacentral:rRNA from 1 species